CCUANGGGUGGCAGCAGUGGGGAAUCUUGGGCAAUGGGCGCAAGCCUGACCCAGCCAUGCCGCGUGUGCGAAGAAGGCCUUCGGGUUGUAAAGCACUUUCAGUGGUGAAGAAAAGCCAGGGGCUAAUACCCCCGGGUCUUGACGUUAGCCACAGAAGAAGCACCGGCUAACUCCGUGCCAGCAGCCGCGGUAAUACGGAGGGUGCGAACGUUAAUCGGAAUUACUGGGCGUAAAGCGCGCGUAGGCGGUUCGGUAAGUGGGAUGUGAAAGCCCUGGGCUCAACCUGGGAACUGCAUUCCAAACUGCCGAGCUAGAGUAUGGUAGAGGGAGGUAGAAUUUCCUGUGUAGCGGUGAAAUGCGUAGAUAUAGGAAGGAAUACCAGUGGCGAAGGCGGCCUCCUGGACCAAUACUGACGCUGAGGUGCGAAAGCGUGGGGAGCAAACAGGAUUAGAUACCCCGNUANUC
rnacentral:rRNA from 1 species